rnacentral:misc_RNA from 1 species
GUUUGAUAUGUACUUAACUAGUUGGAUUUUAUAUUUGAAAAUUAUUAGUAUAUGUGAUUAGUAUGUGCGAUGACAUUAACUUAAUAAUUAUUUGAACAGAUUUUGUGUUGGGGUUCAUGUGGGUGGGAAGUUUACUAAGGAUCCAUUGUUUAAUUAUUUGGGUGGACAUGUUAUAAAAGGAUGUUGGACAGAUUGCUAUAAACUGACUUAUGAGGAUAUUGAGAAUAGGUUGAAGGAUCUUGGGUCUGCUGAUAAGGUUGAUAAGAUAGGGUGUUACAAACCCAGAGGGAACUAGCAGCACCAAACAUUGGUGAAUAAUGAUACUGAGGUGAGACAAAUGUGGGAAGAGUGACUAGAUUUCAAUUGGUUGAAGCUUUUCAUAUAAUUGAGGGAAAAGAAUGGGGAAGGUCAAGGGGAGGUGUCCAAUAAAAUGC